UGGGGAAUUUUGGACAAUGGGCGAAAGCCUGAUCCAGCAAUGCCGCGUGUGUGAAGAAGGCCUUCGGGUUGUAAAGCACUUUUGUCCGGAAAGAAAUCCUUGGCUCUAAUACAGUCGGGGGAUGACGGUACCGGAAGAAUAAGCACCGGCUAACUACGUGCCAGCAGCCGCGGUAAUACGUAGGGUGCAAGCGUUAAUCGGAAUUACUGGGCGUAAAGCGUGCGCAGGCGGUUUGCUAAGACCGAUGUGAAAUCCCCGGGCUCAACCUGGGAACUGCAUUGGUGACUGGCAGGCUAGAGUAUGGCAGAGGGGGGUAGAAUUCCACGUGUAGCAGUGAAAUGCGUAGAGAUGUGGAGGAAUACCGAUGGCGAAGGCAGCCCCCUGGGCCAAUACUGACGCUCAUGCACGAAAAGCGUGGGGAGCAAACAGGAUUAGAUACCCUGGUAGUCCACGCCCUAAAACGAUGUCAACUAGUUGUUGGGGAUUCAUUUCCUUAGUAACGUAGCUAACGCGUGAAGUUGACCGCCUGGGGAGUACGGUCGCAAGAUUAAAACUCAAAUGAAUUGACGGGGUCAUAGCUG
rnacentral:rRNA from 1 species